rnacentral:rRNA from 1 species
AUUGAACGCUGGCGGCAUGCCUUACACAUGCAAGUCGAACGGCAGCGCGGGAGCAAUCCUGGCGGCGAGUGGCGAACGGGUGAGUAAUAUAUCGGAACGUGCCCAGUAGUGGGGGAUAGCCCGGCGAAAGCCGGAUUAAUACCGCGUGAGACCUGAGGGUGAAAGCGGGGGAUCGCAAGACCUCGCGCUAUUGGAGCGGCCGAUAUCAGAUUAGCUAGUUGGUGGGGUAAAGGCCUACCAAGGCAACGAUCUGUAGUUGGUCUGAGAGGACGACCAGCCACACUGGGACUGAGACACGGCCCAGACUCCUACGGGAGGCAGCAGUGGGGAAUUUUGGACAAUGGGCGCAAGCCUGAUCCAGCAAUGCCGCGUGCAGGAAGAAGG